rnacentral:tRNA from 3 species
AGGCCCGUAGUGUAGCCUGGAUAUCACAUAAGCUUGCGGAGCUUGUAACCCGAGUUCAAAUCUCGGCGGGCCUG